GACGAACGCUGGCGGCGUGCUUAACACAUGCAAGUCGAACGGAAAGGCCCUGCUUUUGUGGGGUGCUCGAGUGGCGAACGGGUGAGUAACACGUGAGUAACCUGCCCUUGACUUUGGGAUAACUUCAGGAAACUGGGGCUAAUACCGGAUAGGAGCUCCUGCUGCAUGGUGGGGGUUGGAAAGUUUCGGCGGUUGGGGAUGGACUCGCGGCUUAUCAGCUUGUUGGUGGGGUAGUGGCUUACCAAGGCUUUGACGGGUAGCCGGCCUGAGAGGGUGACCGGCCACAUUGGGACUGAGAUACGGCCCAGACUCCUACGGGAGGCAGCAGUGGGGAAUAUUGCACAAUGGGCGGAAGCCUGAUGCAGCAACGCCGCGUGCGGGGUGACGGCCUUCGGGUUGUAAACCGCUUUCGCCUGUGACGAAGCGUGAGUGACGGUAAUGGGUAAAGAAGCACCGGCUAACUACGUGCCAGCAGCCGCGGUGAUACGUAGGGUGCGAGCGUUGUCCGGAUUUAUUGGGCGUAAAGGGCUCGUAGGUGGUUGAUCGCGUCGGAAGUGUAAUCUUGGGGCUUAACCCUGAGCGUGCUUUCGAUACGGGUUGACUUGAGGAAGGUAGGGGAGAAUGGAAUUCCUGGUGGAGCGGUGGAAUGCGCAGAUAUCAGGAGGAACACCAGUGGCGAAGGCGGUUCUCUGGGCCUUUCCUGACGCUGAGGAGCGAAAGCGUGGGGAGCGAACAGGCUUAGAUACCCUGGUAGUCCACGCUGUAAACGGUGGGUACUAGGUGUGGGGUCCAUUCCACGGGUUCCGUGCCGUAGCUAACGCUUUAAGUACCCCGCCUGGGGAGUACGGCCGCAAGGCUAAAACUCAAAGGAAUUGACGGGGCCCCGCACAAGCGGCGGAGCAUGCGGAUUAAUUCGAUGCAACGCGUAGAACCUUACCUGGGUUUGACAUGGAUCGGGAGUGCUCAGAGAUGGGUGUGCCUCUUUUGGGGUCGGUUCACAGGUGGUGCAUGCCUGUCGUCAGCUCGUGUCGUGAGAUGUUGGGUUAAGUCCCGCAACGAGCGCAACCCUUGUUCACUGUUGCCAGCACGUUAUGGUGGGGACUCAGUGGAGACCGCCGGGGUCAACUCGGAGGAAGGUGGGGAUGACGUCAAGUCAUCAUGCCCCUUAUGUCCAGGGCUUCACGCAUGCUACAAUGGCUGGUACAGAGAGUGGCGAGCCUGUGAGGGUGAGCGAAUCUCGGAAAGCCGGUCUCAGUUCGGAUUGGGGUCUGCAACUCGACCUCAUGAAGUCGGAGUCGCUAGUAAUCGCAGAUCAGCAACGCUGCGGUGAAUACGUUCCCGGGGCU
rnacentral:rRNA from 1 species